UACCAGCACCCCGAGUGGUCGGGACGAUUAUUGGGCCUAAAGCAUCCGUAGCCGGCCUUACAAGUCCUCCGUUAAAUCCAGCUGCUUAACAGAUGGGCUGCGGAGGAUACUAUAAGACUAGGAGGCAGGAGAGGCAAGCGGUACUCAGUGGGUAGGGGUAAAAUCCGUUGAUCCAUUGAAGACCACCAGUGGCGAAGGCGGCUUGCCAGAAUGCGCU
rnacentral:rRNA from 1 species